GGUGACAGUAUUCAGAGCCAGGCUCUCUCCGCAAUCCCCACCCUUUCUGGGGGGAAAGCCUACAAAGGAGAGCAAGGGGAAGCCCACUUAUUGGCCCAGGGAGAGGACAGGCACUGGGAACGGAGGUGGAGAGAGGGGGGAAGCCCACCGGAGGAGCAGUGUUCAGCCAGCCCUUCACACCAUCCUGCCUGGGGUCUCUCGUUACUCCAAUCCUGCACUAGAUGGCAUAACCACAUUGAGACGGGCUGAAAAUCAGGUACCUGGAGACGCCCCCACCGCAUCCAUACUACAUGUGGUCUCUGGGGCCGUAUCACAAGAGGCCACGGCUACCUCCACACCGUCAGGGGAAGUUCUGUGACUGGGGAAGUCAAAACGACGAGGCAGCACUCUCAACUGACUGUGGUUAAAAACAGCUCUCAUCUGCACGCUUUCCAUAGCGCCGUGCUCGAAUAACCCCUACCCUACCUUAUACGGCUUUGUCGACCUGUGUGCCCUCGACAGCCUGGGACUGUGAACCGUGGGGAAGACGUGACUCGUCUCUGCCCUGGCAUCCGACUCCGUGCCAGCCCCCAAAUAUGUGCUCAACCAGGGUGACUUCCGUGAGCAAACGAGCCGAGUUCGAAUCCAGCUCUGCCACGAAUGGGGCUCUGCAACCUGGACUAUUGCCGCUUUGUCUCUUUGAUCUUCAGUUUCUUUGUUGUUGUUAUUUAUUUAUCUGUUGGUUUUGGUUUUUUUCCGAGACAGCGUUUCUCUGUGUGUAGCCCUGGCUGUGCUGGAACUCACUCUGUAGACCAGGCUGGCCUUGGACUCACAGAGAUCCGCCUGCCUCUGCCUCCCGGAUUGAAGGUGUGCCCCAACACUGCCCAGCUUCUUCGUUGCUUUUUAAAAACCUCUUUCUAAAUCGUAACUGAUCACGAUUAAACUGGUAUUUUUAAA